CGGGUGAGUAACGCGUAGGAACGUGUCCGAGGGUGGGGGAUAACGCUGGGAAACUGGCGCUAAUACCGCAUAUCUCCUGCGGGAGAAAGCAGUGAUGCGCCCAUGGAGCGGCCUGCGUCCGAUUAGCUUGUUGGUGGGGUAAAGGCUUACCAAGGCGACGAUCGGUAGCUGGUCUGAGAGGAUGAUCAGCCACACUGGGACUGAGACACGGCCCAGACUCCUACGGGAGGCAGCAGUGGGGAAUAUUGGACAAUGGGCGCAAGCCUGAUCCAGCAAUUCCGCGUGGGUGAAGAAGGUCUUCGGAUUGUAAAGCCCUUUCGACAGGGACGAUGAUGACGGUACCUGUAGAAGAAGCCCCGGCUAACUUCGUGCCAGCAGCCGCGGUAAUACGAAGGGGGCUAGCGUUGCUCGGAAUGACUGGGCGUAAAGGGCGCGUAGGCGGCACACACAGUCAGGCGUGAAAUUCCCGGGCUUAACCUGGGGACUGCGCUUGAUACAUGUGAGCUAGAGGAUGGAAGAGGCUCGUGGAAUUCCCAGUGUAGAGGUGAAAUUCGUAGAUAUUGGGAAGAACACCGGUGGCGAAGGCGGCGAGCUGGUCCAUUACUGACGCUCAUGCACGAAAGCGUGGGGAGCA
rnacentral:rRNA from 1 species